rnacentral:rRNA from 1 species
CAGCCGCCGCGGUAAGACAGAGGAUGCAAGCGUUAUCCGGAAUGAUUGGGCGUAAAGCGUCUGUAGGUGGCUUUUCAAGUCCGCCGUCAAAUCCCAGGGCUCAACCCUGGACAGGCGGUGGAAACUACCAAGCUGGAGUACGGUAGGGGCAGAGGGAAUUUCCGGUGGAGCGGUGAAAUGCGUAGAGAUGUGGAGGAACACCAGUGGCGAAGGCGACUCUCUGGUCUGUAACUGACGCUGAGGAGCGAAAGCGUGGGGAGCAAACAGGAUUAGAUACCCCCGUAGUCCCUGUCUCUUAUAC